GGGCCCGCACAAGCGGUGGAGCAUGUGGUUUAAUUCGAUGCAACGCGAAGAACCUUACCUACUCUUGACAUCCAGAGAACUUUUCAGAGAUGAAUUGGUGCCUUCGGGAACUCUGAGACAGGUGCUGCAUGGCUGUCGUCAGCUCGUGUUGUGAAAUGUUGGGUUAAGUCCCGCAACGAGCGCAACCCUUAUCCUUGUUUGCCAGCGAGUAAUGUCGGGAACUCCAGGGAGACUGCCGGUGAUAAACCGGAGGAAGGUGGGGACGACGUCAAGUCAUCAUGGCCCUUACGAGUAGGGCUACACACGUGCUACAAUGGCCGGUACAGAGAGCAGCCACUACGCGAGUAGGCGCGAAUCUUCAAAGCCGGUCUCAGUUCGGAUCGGAGUCUGCAACUCGACUCCGUGAAGCUGGAAUC
rnacentral:rRNA from 1 species